GACUUAUAUUCUGUAGCAAGGUUAACCGUAUAGGGGAGCCGUAGGGAAACCGAGUCUUAACCGGGCGUUAAGUUGCAGGGUAUAGACCCGAAACCCGGUGAUCUAGCCAUGGGCAGGUUGAAGGUUGGGUAACACUAACUGGAGGACCGAACCGACUAAUGUUGAAAAAUUAGCGGAUGACCUGUGGCUGGGGGUGAAAGGCCAAUCAAACCGGGAGAUAGCUGGUUCUCCCCGAAAGCUAUUUAGGUAGCGCCUCGUGAAUUCAUCUCCGGGGGUAGAGCACUGUUUCGGCUAGGGGGCCAUCCCGGCUUACCAACCCGAUGCAAACUGCGAAUACCGGAGAAUGUUAUCACGGGAGACACACGGCGGGUGCUAACGUCCGUCGUGAAGAGGGAAACAACCCAGACCGCCAGCUAAGGUCCCAAAGUCAUGGUUAAGUGGGAAACGAUGUGGGAAGGCCCAGACAGCCAGGAUGUUGGCUUAGAAGCAGCCAUCAUUUAAAGAAAGCGUAAUAGCUCACUGGUCGAGUCGGCCUGCGCGGAAGAUGUAACGGGGCUAAACCAUGCACCGAAGCUGCGGCAGCGA
rnacentral:rRNA from 1 species